UGAAAGUAAUAUUUAUCUUUUUUUAACUUUCAAGUUCCAAAUAUGGUUUCAUUUGGAAAAUGGACAGUGCCUUGGAAGGAGGAUGCUGUGGUAACAGAUCAGAAAGGUGGCUCUUUCAGCAAUGACCUGCUCAACGCGCUUGGAACAACAGCUCAGGCAUUAUAGAGUAGCAGAGGUCUGCAGGAGCAUGUACCAAAGACCAGAGAUAUACAAGACACAAUCCGAACACAGGAACUGGAAAC